UGCUGUCAUUGCCAGGUGCCUCAACCGCCUAGGGRACACAGUGUAGAAAGAAGCAGAUUCCAGUCUGCAAGAGAAUCUCCUGAGGAACGAGCCCAUUUCCCAGCUGUACUGUGACUCACCUGCAUUUCUGCUUCAUCAGGGCAAGACGUCACUGGCUCUGGUUCCCCUCUGACACCUGUGUCUGUGAUCAUACAUUUCGUCUUGUUUUCUUCUGGACCAAUAUGCAAGUAGGGGAAGAAGCCUAUUUAGAGGAAGAAAUGUUAAAGAAUUAUCU